GAUGAAGAACGUAGCGAAAUGCGAUAAGUAGUGUGAAUUGCAGAAUUCAGUGAAUCAUCGAAUCUUUGAACGCACAUUGCGCCCCUUGGUAUCCCGGGGGGCAUGCCUGUUCGAGCGUCAUUUCACCACUCAAGCCUGGCUUGGUGUUGGGCGACGUCCUCUUUGGGGACGCGCCUCGAAACGCUCGGCGGCGUGGCACCGGCUUUAAGCGUAGCAGAAUCUUUCGCUUUGGAAGUCGGGGCCCCGUCUGCCGGAAGACCUGCUCGCAAGGUUGACCUCGGAUCAGGCAGGGAUACCCGCUGAACUUAAGCAUAUCAAUAAGCGGAGGA
rnacentral:misc_RNA from 1 species